CGUGGCAGCAGCCAAAGAUGACCUGUUUGGUUCUAGAAGCAAAGCGUGGCACUCUUCAGGAUCUCCCUAACACGACAUGCCGAAGAUCAAUGUUUGCCGGCUUCUGGAAUGACGGGCCGAGAGCACCUUGCCCACACCUUCUCCGGGAAGCACAGCGGUGGAGCAGUUAGGAGAUGAGCUCUGCAAUCUGUACCCACCCAGGUUCAAAUCCCUGUGUGGGCCCUGGGGCUGGCUGCCUCACUUCUGCAAGCCUUGCUUUUGGAAGGACAUUAAUAAGGCCCGUCUCCUGGGUUUCUGGCAGGAUUAUGCAAGAAAAUGCUUGAAGAUGCUCUGUACCUGAUAAGUCCUUGACUCCUCCUGGGGAGAUCUACAGGGAGAGAAGUCUAUGGAAUACUGACACGAUCCUUUUAGGGUGUGUCUCCCUCAGUGACCAGUUCCUGGAGAACAAGAGCUGUGUCUCAUCCACGCGCCUCCCGAGUGCAUGGCAUACAGCAGGUGUUCCCUACGUGUGUGCUGAAUUGAACAGGACCAGGGGAGGGAGAAGGCAAGCUGUGUCCUAUGGAACCUGCCUCAGCGUCCAAUGUUUGUGAAUGUAACUUGCUUUGCCCUGGACGGCAACAAAGGAUCUCAUACACAACACCGCACUACGGCCACCACCAUUGUGACAUCACCCAGACCCACAGUAACACACUAGACCUGACCUACAAAGGAACGUCUGUGCCGGUCCCCUCAUAUUACUUCUCUUUCCCCAGCCUCCGAUGCCUUUUCCUGAUUUCUUUCGUACAUUUUUUAGAACCAUAUAAAAAAAAAAGUACUGCUCCCACAACCAUCACUCUCUGAUAUCAAUUUAAAAUCAUGGUGUGGUGGGGCUCCUGGGUGGCUCAGUUGGCUGAAUGGCCACUUCUUGAUUUCGGCUCAGGACGUGAUC